GAUGAACGCUAGCGGCAGGCCUAAUACAUGCAAGUCGAACGGUGUCUUCGGACAUAGUGGCGCACGGGUGCGUAACACGUAUGCAACCUACCUUACAUUGGGGGAUAGCCUUUCGAAAGGGAGAUUAAUACCGCAUAAGACAGUAGCUGGGCAUCCAGCAGCUGUUAAAGAUUUAUCGAUGUAAGCUGGGCAUGCGUCCAAUUAGCUAGUUGGUGAGGGAACGGCUCACCAAGGCAAUGAUUGGUAGGGGAACUGAGAGGUCAAUCCCCCACCCUGGCACUGAGAUACGGGCCAGACUCCUACGGGCGGCAGCAGUAGGGAAUAUUGGGCAAUGGACGCAAGUCUGACCCAGCCAUGCCGCGUGCAGGAUGAAGGCGUUAUGCGUUGUAAACUGCUUUUAUACAGGAAGAAACGACUCUUGCGAGAGGCAUUGACGGUACUGUAUGAAUAAGCACCGGCUAACUCCGUGCCAGCCGCCGCCGUAACAC
rnacentral:rRNA from 1 species